GCCCAACAAUAGGUCUGCACUGCUCCCUUUGCCACAAGCCAGUUGAAGGGAAUGGGGGAGUGAGAGAGAGAGAAAGAGGAGGAGAGGAGAAAAAAAUCAAGAAAAGUGGACGGGGAGAAAGGAGAAGGGAACCGAGAGAGUUGGCGUGAAAGAAAGAGAGGGGCAGAUGGAGGUGAGGGAGAGAGAGGUAAUGGAAGAGGAUCUGUCACUGGGGUAUUCCACCAUGGGAUGGGUGACAGAGAGGUGGAGGAGAAGAGAGGAUGGAGGGGCCAGUUAAUCGAUGUUUUAAAAGGUUUCACUCCUCAGAGACCUUCACACACACCAACUCUCUCCUACACCAACAACCCCAUGCACUCUCACUGAAAAACACACAUUCUAUCCAUUACUUUCAUCAAUAGAACAGACCAAGGCCAGAGCAGCCAUGACGAUGUUUUCAUCCAAAAUAACAUGCUAGCUAAGUAGCUAUGAUUUCAGACAGGAACCAGGGAUUCAGGGGAAGGGCUGUGUGUGUGAUUCUGGUGUACAAAGUGCAGUGCUUAUUUAUGUACAGGCCAGCCACAAGGAGCAAAUGAGAUCAACCAAUCACAGCUGAUAAAAGACAGAGGAUGUCCUCUUUCCACUUCUCACACACACACACACACACACACACACACACACACACACACACACACACACACACACACACACACACACACACACACACACACACACACACACACACACACACACACACACACACACACACACACACACACACACACGACUACUGAUAGCAUGGUGAUAUUUAAACAGACAGACAGGUGUUCACCUUCACACACAUUAACACUGAAAGAAUGCAAGCUGGUUUAAUGCUGACUACAGUAGAUUAUCAUUCUCUACAUGUGGCUGGUUUGAUCCCUUCAUAAAUGGGUUGUUUUGUGAGAGCACUCUGAGCUGAACUUUCCUUUGGGACAACCCAUCUCCUCAAGACACACACACACACACACACACACACACGCACACGCACACACCCCUCUGGGACAUAUUGUGUGAAACGUGCUCUCUCUCACACACAUACUUUUCAUACUAAAGGCCCUACCUAGUAAUACACACAAAUAUCUCAAAUACACUGCUUGGCCAGUAUUAGUGACUCACACAUACACACAGGUUCCCCUAAGCAACACACACACACACAUCCAGGUGCACUCACACGGUUAUAAGGGAAACCACAUCCUUACUUGAGAUAAAUUGGCUCAAAGUUCAAAAUGAACAGUGACGCAGGUACAUAGAGGACAGGGCAGGUACAUAGAGGACAGGGCAGGUACAUAGAGGACAGGGCAGGUACAUAGAGGACAGGGCAGGUACAUAGAGGACAGGGCAGGUACAUAGAGGACAGGGCAGGUACAUAGAGGACAGGGCAGGUCUACACAAGGAGAGAGGGAGGAGAAAACACAAAAGAUCGACAGCGGGGAAAUAGAGAGAGAGGUUGAAAAGAAACUCUUCAAACGUGAUCUCACAUUCCUGACUAGGGGUGGAGGGGAGAGAGAGAGCGAGAGAAGAGGGAGGGGUGGAGGGGAGAGAGAGCGAGAGAAGAGGGAGGGGUGGAGGGGAGAGAGAGAGCGAGAGAAGAGGGAGGGGUGGAGGGGAGAGAGAGCGAGAGAAGAGGGAGGGGGGAGAGAGAGAGCGAGAGAAGAGGGAGGGGUGGAGGGGAGAGAGAGCGAGAGAAGAGGGAGGGGUGGAGGGGAGAGAGAGAGCGAGAGAAGAGGGAGGGGUGGAGGGGAGAGAGAGAGCGAGAGAAGAGGGAGGGGUGGAGGGGAGAGAGAGAGCGAGAGAAGAGGGAGGGGUGGGGGAGAGAGAGAGCAAGAGAAGAGGGAGGGGUGGAGGGGAGAGAGAGAGCGAGAGAAGAGGGAGGGGUGGGGGGAGAGAGAGAGCGAGAGAAGAGGGAGGGGUGGGAGAGAGAGCGAGAGAAGAGGGAGGGGUGGGGGAGAGAGAGAGAGCGAGAGAAGAGGGAGGGGUGGAGGGGAGAGAGAGCGAGAGAAGAGGGAGGGGUGGGAGAGAGAGCGAGAGAAGAGGGAGGGGUGGGAGAGAGAGCGAGAGAAGAGGGAGGGGUGGGAGAGAGAGAGAGAAGAGGGAGGGGUGGAGGAGAGAGAGAGGGUAACAGGCGGUGGAAAGCGGGAGAGAGAAAGUUUUAGGUGGCACCAGGCGGCAUUUGAAUACUCAACAGCCGACCACACACACACACACACACACACACACACACACUAAGUAUCAGUGAGGUGCAAUUGGCACAGUAGUCUUUUUGUGACUUCCCAUCCUCUAGAAUUAGAUAUCUGUUCUCUCUCCCUCUCCCAAGCAGAGACAGAUUCCCAGAUAAAAAUAGGCUGAAGUAUUCCAGUCCUCCUCCCAUUCUACAGCCAGGCUUUGAGAUAGAGGGUGAGUGUCAUAUUAUGGGUUAGCAGCCCAGUGUAAGCCUGGUGAGGAGGAGGACAUCCUAACACAACAGCUGUUGUGCAGACAUCAUGACCUAGCCUGAUUUUGGUGUACAGGAGUGAACUGUGGAGAAUGAGAAGUCUGUAUGUGUGACUCCUUUGUGUUAAUUUAGCGGUGUACAGAAAUGAACCUCUCUCUCUAUUUCCCCGCUGUCGAUCUUUUGUGUUUUCUCCUCCCUCUCUCCUUGUGUAGGCCUGCCCUGUCCUCUAUGUACCUGCCCUGUCCUCUAUGUACCUGCCCUGUCCUCUAUGUACCUGCCCUGUCCUCUAUGUACCUG
rnacentral:lncRNA from 1 species